GAUGAACGCUGGCGGCGUGCCUAAUACAUGCAAGUCGAGCGAACGGACGAGAAGCUUGCUUCUCUGAUGUUAGCGGCGGACGGGUGAGUAACACGUGGAUAACCUACCUAUAAGACUGGGAUAACUUCGGGAAACCGUAGCUAAUACCGGAUAAUAUUUUGAACCGCAUGGUUCAAAAGUGAAAGACGGUCUUGCUGUCACUUAUAGAUGGAUCCGCGCUGCAUUAGCUAGUUGGUAAGGUAACGGCUUACCAAGGCAACGAUGCAUAGCCGACCUGAGAGGGUGAUCGGCCACACUGGAACUGAGACACGGUCCAGACUCCUACGGGAGGCAGCAGUAGGGAAUCGUCCGCAAUGGGCGAAAGCCUGACGGAGCAACGCCGCGUGAGUGAUGAAGGUCUUCGGAUCGUAAAACUCUGUUAUGAGGGAAGAACAUAUGUGUAAGUAACUGUGCACAGCGUGACGGUACCGAAUCAGAAAGCCACGGCUAACUACGUG
rnacentral:rRNA from 1 species